AGUCACGUGGCCCGGCUCGGCCGCCCCAGCACCAUGGAGACUGCACGCUGUGCUCCUAGAAGGGCACUUGGAGGCCCGCCUCACCUCGCCGCUCUAGCGGGAAGGCCGCGGAGCACCGAGGAGAGGGCGACGCUCUCCCCACAGCGAUGCUCCUCUCGAUGGUUGGCACGUAAGGCUUCGCCGCCAUCUUGUCCGGUUUUUCGCGUUAUUGUGUGGAGGGCAAGGUCUCACGAUUGGGUUUCAGAGGCGUGGGUAGUGGCUUGUAGCCACACGGCAGGAGUUGGGACUCACUGAGGGGAAGCCGCUCUCGGGGUGUGUCCCCUUGACGCCGUUAGGGGUGGGGACCGGACCUGGACCCGCCCGGCUGCGGCGUCCGGCAUGGGAGGACUCGCGCGGACUGGCAGCCGGGCGCGGUGUCCCGGCGGCUCACUCACAGUUUUUUGCUACGCUUGUCGCCUGGUUUGAUUUCCUGUCGAUUCCCCAGACCGUGCACCAGGACUAGAAGCAAUUGAAUAUUUUAAUGAGAUGAUUUCGUGCAUUUUGAUGUUUGGUUGGCUUUGCCCCCUGCAGCGGGCAAUGUCAGGUUUUAUAGACGAUGUCCCAUGCCCAGCCCUGGAGAAUUGCCCCUCGAGCACGCUGAAGGGAAAGGGAAUGGCAAGAUGAGCGUAAUCUCUAAGGGAAGUGUUUCACAACGAAAACCGAGCGAGAUUAGGUUGCUGACAGUUUGGGAGCUGUUUCUGGAGCUGCCCAAGUCUCUCCAACCCCGUACUCCAAGAAAAGCUGUUAAAAUUCAGUAAAAUGGGGGUGUUACGUUUUCCAGACGUAUUGGCAGCAUUACAAGAACUCAGUGGCCACCUACAGCUAAUGACUACUUGAUUGGACCGCGAAGAUGAUCUCACGGCAGAAAGUUUCGUUGCACCUUGCCGAUGUAGAUGGCAAAAUGGCCCUGCAUUGGUAAUCCGAGCAGCUUAAAGGUCAUAGCUAAUCACAUUAUUCAUCCAAACACAGAUAAUCCUAAUGCAUUAGUGAGAAUGAAUGUACUUGUUAGCAUAAGCCCUCCCAACAAGUAGUAGAUGAAUGCCUACACAUUGUAAGGCUGCUGUUUGGGAGAUGGAGGGAAGGAAAGCAGUGGCUAACCAUUAUUAAGUGGUUAGGAGCCUGUAGUUUUAGAUGCGUUUUCCUCAGGACAUCUCAACAAUUGUAGGACAUAGGUGCUGUUUCCUUUCGUUUAUAAAUGAGGGAAGUAAGGUUUAUGCCCUUCACACGGCUAAACCUGAACUCUUAACAGGGAGACUGGCUGCUCCGAACUAAAAUGAGCCUUGCUCUCAAACACCUUAAAAAUCAAACACAUGAAAUGAAUGGUCUGAUGACCAACAGGAGAGAAUGUAAGUGCCAGAAAAGUGAACAGAUCAAUAAAAGCAAAGGAGAAAAAAAAAUUAUUCAGCUCUAGUCAUUGUUGGAAGAAGAAGAAGGAAACCAGGUAAAAUUUUAAGCACAGAUAAAAGUUGGAUUUACAGUCACAGAGAUGAGAUAAUAUAGGCUGAAAAGAACAAAUGAAAUAAGCAGAACCAUGAAGAAUGGCUUGUCUUGAACUGCAAAAA
rnacentral:lncRNA from 1 species